ensembl:misc_RNA 7SK 7SK RNA
GGAUGGAGGGCCAUCUGGCUGUGACAUCUGUCAUCUCAUUGAUUGCCAGGGUUGAUUCAGCUGAUCUGACUGGCUAGACGGGUGUCCCCUUCCUCCCUCACUGCUCCAUGUGCGUCCCUCCUGAAGCUGGGCUCUUGGUAAAGAGGAUGACCACCCCCAAUAGAGAAGGACCCUUUCCUUGGUCAAGUGUGUAUGAGUAGCUGCAUUCCCUGCUAGAACAAGCUCCCAACAAGCUCUCAAGAAAAAAAGAAAGAAAGAAAGAAAGCUACACAACAUCUGGAGGGAUCAGCCACUCCAUUUUUGAAGCUCAAUGUGGACAGUGCUGAGGU